rnacentral:rRNA from 1 species
GGCCUUGCGUUAUUCGAGCGGCCGAUAUCUGAUUAGCUAGUUGGUGGGGUAAAGGCCUACCAAGGCGACGAUCAGUAGCGGGUCUGAGAGGAUGAUCCGCCACACUGGGACUGAGACACGGCCCAGACUCCUACGGGAGGCAGCAGUGGGGAAUUUUGGACAAUGGGCGCAAGCCUGAUCCA